GUGUUACAGUUUUGUAACACAGCUUGUUACAUGUAACAAAAUUGUGUUACACUCAUUUGCUGCGUGGUUUCCACCACCGGCAACCCAUUUACCGAUCCCUACCCCAUGUGUAACAUACACUUAUUGUAUUAUAUGAUUUGCUACGUUAUAGGUAAUAGCCUACCAAGGCAAUGAUUAGUAGUUGGUUCAAGAGGAUGAUGAGUCACAUUGGGAUUGAGAAAUGGUCCAGACUCCUAUGGGAGGCAGCGGUGGAGAAUAUUCGUAACGAAGGAAAGCCUGAUGAAGCAAUUAAUACUAUGUGGAGGUAGAAGGUCCAUGGGUCGUGAACUUUUUUCUUGGAGAAGAAGUAAUGACGGCAUCAGACAUUAUGUUUCAUUGUCCAUCACCUGUUUUCGCUGUCGAUGCCAACAC
rnacentral:rRNA from 1 species